rnacentral:rRNA from 1 species
GGAGGGGAGCAAGCGUUGUUCGGAUUUACUGGGCGUAAAGGGCGUGUAGGGCGGCCUAGCAAGUCGGGGCGUGAAAUCCUCUGGCUCAACCAGAGAACUGCACCCGAAACUGCCCAGGCUUGAGUAUAGGAGAGGAAAGCGGAAUUCCUGGUGUAGCGGUGAAAUGCGUAGAUAUCAGGAAGAACACCAGUGGCGAAGGCGGCUUUCUGGCCUACUACUGACGCUGAUGCGCGAAAGCCGGGGGAGCGAACAGGAUUAGAUACCCUGGUAGUCCCGGCCGUAAACGUUGGGCACUAGGUGUAGGGGGUAUCGACCCCCUCUGUGCCGAAGCUAACGCAUUAAGUGCCCCGCCUGGGGAGUACGACCGCAAGGUUG